AAGUUAUAAGAUGAGAUGUAUGAAAGAAACUAAAUUGUAUUAGAUAAUAAAUAUUUAUAUACUAAGAUGAGAUGCAUGAUACAGUUGGGUGCUUUAGUCGGUUAUUUAAAUACAAAAAAGGUGUUCAUAUUGAUGUUUGUAUUUUGAUAUUAUCCCUUAACAAUUCAUUUAUUUAAGGUUGGAAUAUGAGGAGAGCAUGGUGUCAGCCAUCUUCUAUUGCAUUCUUUGCUCAAAUUGGUUCCAGUUGAAAGGCUUACAGCAGCUCAAGUUGCAGUUUAAAAAAUUUGUUAAUCUGGUUUGUUAAAUAUUUUAAAUCCUAUUGUUCUUGACAUUUAUGUUUGUGCAUUGGGGGAUUGGUAUUGAAAUUAUGUAUUAUCAUACAAAUUGCCUAAAAGCUAG